GACGAACGCUGGCGGCGUGCUUAACACAUGCAAGUCGAACGGAAAGUCCCUGCUUUUGUGGGGUGCUCGAGUGGCGAACGGGUGAGUAACACGUGAGUAACCUGCCCUUGACUUUGGGAUAACUUCAUGAAACUGGGGCUAAUACCGGAUAGGAGCUCCUGCUGCUUGGUGGGGGUUGGAAAGUUUCGGCGGUUGGGGAUGGACUCGCGGCUUAUCAGCUUGUUGGUGGGGUAGUGGCUUACCAAGGCUUUGACGGGUAGCCGGCCUGAGAGGGUGACCGGCCACAUUGGGACUGAGAUACGGCCCAGACUCCUACGGGAGGCAGCAGUGGGGAAUAUUGCACAAUGGGCGGAAGCCUGAUGCAGCAACGCCGCGUGCGGGAUGACGGCCUUCGGGUUGUAAACCGCUUUCGCCUGUGACGAAGCGUGAGUGACGGUAAUGGGUAAAGAAGCACCGGCUAACUACGUG
rnacentral:rRNA from 1 species